GGAGGGAUAGCCAAGUGGUCAAAGGCAGCAGACUGUAAAUCUGCCCGCGUCAGCGUUCGUAGGUUCGAAUCCUACUCCCUCCACCA
rnacentral:tRNA from 1 species